rnacentral:rRNA from 1 species
AGUGAACGCUGGCGGUAGGCCUAACACAUGCAAGUCGAACGGCAGCACAGUAAGAUCUUGCUCUUACGGGUGGCGAGUGGCGGACGGGUGAGGAAUACAUCGGCAUCUACUUUUUCGUGGGGGAUAACGUAGGGAAACUUACGCUAAUACCGCAUACGACCUACGGGUGAAAGCAGUGGAUCUUCGGACCUUUCGCGAUUGAAUGAGCCGAUGUCGGAUUAGCUAGUUGGCGUGGUAAAGGCCCACCAAGGCGACGAUCCGUAGCUGGUCUGAGAGGAUGAUCAGCCACACUGGAACUGAGACACGGUCCAGACUCCUACGGGAGGCAGCAGUGGGGAAUAUUGGACAAUGGGCGCAAGCCUGAUCCAGCCAUACCGCGUGGGUGAAGAAGGCCUUCGGGUUGUAAAGCCCUUUUGUUGGGAAAGAAAAGCAGCAGGUUAAUACCCCGCUGUUCUGACGGUACCCAAAGAAUAAGCACCGGCUAACUUCGUG